UUGCACACAUGCAUAUGUAUGUAUAUACGAAAUAUUUUGACACUACGCUUUGUAGCGAGUCCCGCGAUCACUUCCAAGCAAGCGGUUCUCCUGAUCGGAUGUAAAAGUGAUUAAUAGAGCUCGAUAGACAAGUGUUCAUUUAAGUGUAAUAAAAAAGUGAAAAGUACAGAAAAAAAGAUACAAAUUUAUUUCAACAUAUUGUACCCUGAGAAAGAAGCAAUUUUAUCUAGUAAAUGGGACACAUUUAAGGAAAAGGUUUUUGGUUUACGAAGAGCAAAUACAAAACAAAGAGCGACUUAAACUAUUAAAGACAGUUCAGAAAACUGUAUCACUGGAUUACAAGGACUACAUUUACACUGUAUUGCUAACAUCUGUCAUCUUAAAUAAUUCGUGGACCGUCAUUAAAGGAACCAACAAGCGAAAGAAAUUAUCACUACUGGGACUCGCAGGAAAGUUUUGUACGCACAUGCAGGCGUACGAAUAUGGCAAAACACAAAAAUGUGUGAUUAUAAAAAACAUUGAACGCUUUACUAGCUGCUCUGUGCAUACAUCUGUAUCAUAUAAAUUCUAAGAGUUACGUUAAGUACAAAUGUAUUUAAAACAAAAGUAAUGAUGACGUGUUAGCAUGGUAAAAAAUAGAGUUUAAGCAGAACAAUUGUUUGGAUUAUAUGUUUACGCUUAUUUUCAAUAAAAACACAUACUUAUUUGGGUCUUUAUUAAAUAUAAAA